rnacentral:lncRNA from 1 species
AGAGAAGCAUGGCUAGAAGUCACUUAAGAAAUAGCCCCAGCUUCUGACUUUCAAGCUAAACUCCUCCCCAGUUACCUAGCAACAUUAAAGACCAUAAAAAGGGUUGUUCAGCCCCUGCUUGCUCUCUUACUUCUUACUCUCUGUCUCUCUCUUCUUACCCCUCACUCUCCCCCUCUCUCCUCUGUGUCUUCUCUCCUCUCCUCUCUCCUCUCUCUGCUUCUCUCUCUCUCUCUCUCUCUCUCUCUCUCUCUCUCUCUCUCUCUCUCUCCCCUACCUUCUCUCUUUCCCCAUGCCUUUCUACAAUAAAGCUCUAGAGUCUCUGCUCAUCAAGAUCUGCUGCACUCACUCUGGUCAGUGUUGGGGACCUCUUCCCUCAUCCUUCUCUCCUAUAACCCUGGUGGCUUUAGCAAAGUAGCUCCGGGGUUCCCAGGUAGGGUUGCCUCUGGCCACCCUCUGAAGAGUGGCUCAGAGGCCUGAAUGCCCACCCAGGGAUGAGUGGAAGGUAGAUAGCAACUCGCCCAUACCUGACAGACCAGAGAAUAGUACUCUGAGAAGAAAUACCCUAAGUGCUGAACAGGAAAGUAGGAUAGAACUGAUAUCUGAAAGAUUCCACAUGGACUGAGCCACAGUAAAGACACCUGCAAGCACCAAGCAUCUAAGAGUCCACCUGCAGAGUUGAAACUAGGACACCUGUGUGGUUGUUAAAGCCUCAAACUCAGUGUCUAUAUGAGGAGAACGACCUUAAACGUAUGUUUCAGAGGACUGGGACUACAUGAGUGCACCAACAUGGCUGGUUUCUGUGAUGCUGCAAUCGAACCCAGGACUUCAUCCAUUCAAGGCAGUGACUCUAUCAACUGUUCUUCAUUCCCAGCACUAUUCCAUGGCAUGGUGCAUAACAUUGAUCCAGCUUCUGGAUCAAUUUCGCCAAUAUGAUUUGAUCCACCAUGUGGUUGAUGGAAAUUGAACUCAGGACCUCUGGAAGAACAGUCAGUGCUCUUACCCAAUGAGCCAUCUCUCCAGCCUCAGAAUCAGAAUUAUUUGGAAUCUGCAAACCUGAAGGUUGAUGGAAC